rnacentral:lncRNA from 1 species
UUUGCACAUGAUAAUUUCUUCUUUCAUAAAUAGCAGCAAAUAUGCUUCUCUCCCCUCUGUCUCUCCCUCUCUCUCAGGAUAUCAGGCAGAUAAGAGUUAUCAGUAAAGGUCAUCCUCAAUUUCUGUACAGAAAUGAUCUGUCUCCGGUAUGUAAUAAACAUUUAUCCAUGCCUUUAUUAGCUAUAUUGAAGCUGACAGUUCUGUUAAACCAUUUUCUUUCAUUUUGCUAGGUCAUGACGGUUAAUGCUGCUAAAAAAUCUCAUCACUGCUUUUGAUCACUGUAUUGUCUUCCCUGUAUUAUCAGAAUUUUGUGAAGGGAUCAGUUCUCUAGAAGUAGACAGACAAAAGAAGAAAAAAAGCAAAAGCAAGAAGAACCCACCCAUUGAUACACAUCGUCAGACAAAUGAGAUGUGCAACAGAAAAACAAGAUGCAGGGUAAAACUUGCAUCCAUGCCUUUCCAUUUUUCCUUCAUCCAAGCUACUUAACUUCUCUCCUCAGUCAAAAGAGUUUUUAAGAAAAGGAAAACAACAAAGUAGCCACAAAAACAUCUGCCUUUAUUAAUGGACCAAGGAUCUUAUAAACUUAUGAAACAGAAUUUAGUUGUCAAUUUCAAGAAAAUAAUUCAGAUAAAUUAAUAAACUGUCUGAAAUUUCAAACA